AUUGAACGCUGGCGGCAGGCCUAACACAUGCAAGUCGAACGGUAACAGAAAGCAGCUUGCUGCUUUGCUGACGAGUGGCGGACGGGUGAGUAAUGUCUGGGAAACUGCCUGAUGGAGGGGGAUAACUACUGGAAACGGUAGCUAAUACCGCAUAACGUCGCAAGACCAAAGAGGGGGACCUUCGGGCCUCUUGCUAUCGGAUGUGCCCAGAUGGGAUUAGCUAGUAGGUGGGGUAAAGGCUCACCUAGGCGACGAUCCCUAGCUGGUCUGAGAGGAUGACCAGCCACACUGGAACUGAGACACGGUCCAGACUCCUACGGGAGGCAGCAGUGGGGAAUAUUGCACAAUGGGCGCAAGCCUGAUGCAGCCAUGCCGCGUGUAUGAAGAAGGCCUUCGGGUUGUAAAGUACUUUCAGCGGGGAGGAAGGGAGUAAAGUUAAUACCUUUGCUCAUUGACGUUACCCGCAGAAGAAGCACCGGCUAACUCCGUG
rnacentral:rRNA from 1 species